rnacentral:rRNA from 1 species
UACGUAGGGUGCAAGCGUUGUCCGGAAUUAUUGGACGUAAAGAGCUCGUAGGCGGUCUGUCACGUCGGCUGUGAAAACCCGAGGCUCAACCUCGGGCCUGCAGUCGAUACGGGCAGACUAGAGUUCGGUAGGGGAGACUGGAAUUCCUGGUGUAGCGGUGAAAUGCGCAGAUAUCAGGAGGAACACCGGUGGCGAAGGCGGGUCUCUGGGCCGAAACUGACGCUGAGGAGCGAAAGCGUGGGGAGCGAACAGG